rnacentral:misc_RNA from 1 species
UCCGGCUUGACGCCGGCAGUCUCUCCAGAGUUCCCAACUAAAUGAUGGCAACUGGAAACAGGGGUCGCGCUCGUUGCCGGACUUAACCGAACAUCUCACGACACGAGCUGACGACAGCCAUGCACCACCUGUGCGGGCUCCGAGGAGCGCCGUAUCUCUACGGUUUCACCCCGCAUGUCAAGCCCAGGUAAGGUUCUUCGCGUUGCUUCGAAUUAAGCCACAUGCUCCACCGCUUGUGCGGGCCCCCGUCAAUUUCUUUGAGUUUUAAUCUUGCGACCGUACUCCCCAGGCGGCACGUUUAACGCGUUAGCUCCGGCGCAGAAGGGGUCGAAUCCCCCCACACCAAACGUGCACCGUUUACUGCCAGGACUAC